rnacentral:lncRNA from 1 species
CCUUUGGCAAAUCACUCAUAAUACUUGACCCUCACAACUCAAAUCAUAUUCUACCUGCCCAAUCAAAUAGAUACUAAGUGGAAAAGGAGCUUCAUUUACGAUCUUGCAGCAAGAUUUUGUCCAAUUGCAUUCCUUCCAUAUCUAAAAACACACCCGUGCACACAAAAUAAAAUAAAAUAAAACACUCAUAUACUAUUUAAUAAUUUCCAUAUCUGACCGUGCAUUAGAACAUGCAAACAUACAACCAACAAAUAUUGCAAUGGUAGAAAAUUGCCACUUUGCUCUACAAUGGAAGAAAGUGGCAACUAGAAUCCCUGAACCACCAUUUGCAUAACUUCCAAAACCUAUGUUGUUUUGAUAAAUGUUGCCUAAUUGCACACCAUCCAUAAUUCCUCUCAAAAUAGAGGUUCAAAAGCCACCUAAGGUGGCAUUUGGUGGCUCAAAUGGGAUUACUAAGAUGAUUUUAGAUCCUUAUUAAUCUAAUUCUUGAUGAUUUAAAAUUAUCAUGUUUUGUAGGUUAUAUUUCAACGAUUAAAAAUCUCUGAAUAUCUACGAGUAACUUAUUUGAUAUUCCAUAGGAAUCUAAGAUCACUGAUCAUAUAAUACCAAAACUACCCCCAAUAUAUUUUAUAACGAUAUAUUUAUUAUAUAUCACAGUAAAUUAUUAAUAUAUUUAUUAUAUAUUGAUACAAUCGUGAUGUUGUCGUUAGGACACCGUGAUUAUCAAUUUAAUUCCGACUUCAAUAAAAAUUAAAAGCACGUAGAAAAUAGCGAGUCAGAUCGAAUCCACAGAGAAGGC